rnacentral:tRNA from 1 species
GCUGCGGUCGUUCAAUGGACAGGACCCCGCUUUCCGAAAGCGGCAAUGAUGGUUCGAGUCCAUCCUGCAGCG